GGAGAGAUGGCUCAGGGGUUAAGAGCACUGGUUGCUUUUCCAGAGGUCCUGAGUUCAAUUCCCAGUGACUACA
rnacentral:tRNA from 1 species